rnacentral:rRNA from 1 species
GACGGACGCUGGCGGCGUGCUUAACACAUGCCAGUCGAACGGAAAGGCCCUGCUUUUGUGGGGUGCUCGAGUGGCGAACGGGUGAGUAACACGUGAGUAACCUGCCCUUGACUUUGGGAUAACUUCAGGAAACUGGGGCUAAUACCGGAUAGGAGCUCCUGCUGCAUGGUGGGGGUUGGAAAGUUUCGGCGGUUGGGGAUGGACUCGCGGCUUAUCAGCUUGUUGGUGGGGUAGUGGCUUACCAAGGCUUUGACUGGUAGCCGGCCUGAGAGGGUGACCGGCGACACGGGAGGGGAGACGGGGUCAUGGGGACUGCGGGAGGCCGCAGUGGCGAAGGGGGGGCAACGGGGGGAAGUAUGACACAGCGGGCGCGAGUGGGUGACGAAGGCCCUCGGGUUGGGAAGCCGGCUUGUGGGUAAAGAAAAGCAUCCGCUUGUGACCAGGCGGGAGUGACGGUAAUGGAAAAAGAAGCACCGGCUAACUACGUG